GCGUUAUCCGGAUUUAUUGGGUUUAAAGGGUGCGUAGGCGGCUCAUUAAGUCAGGGGUGAAAGACGGUAGCUUAACUAUCGCAGUGCCUUUGAUACUGAUGAGCUUGAAUGUAGUUGAGGUAGGCGGAAUGUGACAAGUAGCGGUGAAAUGCAUAGAUAUGUCACAGAACACCAAUUGCGAAGGCAGCUUACUAAAGUAUGAUUGACGCUGAGGCACGAAAGCGUG
rnacentral:rRNA from 1 species